AUUGAACGCUGGCGGAAUGCUCUACACAUGCAAGUCGAACGAUGAACCUUAGCUUGCUAGGGGGAUUAGUGGCGAACGGGUGAGUAACAUAUCGGAACGUACCUAGUAAUGGGGGAUAACUAGUCGAAAGAUUAGCUAAUACCGCAUACGCCCUGAGGGGGAAAGUAGGGGAUCUUCGGACCUUACGUUAUUAGAGCGGCCGAUAUCUGAUUAGCUAGUUGGUGGGGUAAAAGCCUACCAAGGCGACGAUCAGUAGCUGGUCUGAGAGGACGACCAGCCACACUGGAACUGAGACACGGUCCAGACUCCUACGGGAGGCAGCAGUGGGGAAUUUUGGACAAUGGGGGCAACCCUGAUCCAGCCAUUCCGCGUGAGUGAAGAAGGCCUUCGGGUUGUAAAGCUCUUUCGCAAGGGAAGAAAACUUACAUUCUAAUAAAGUGUGAGGCUGACGGUACCUUGAUAAGAAGCACCGGCUAACUACGUGCCAGCAGCCGCGGUAA
rnacentral:rRNA from 1 species